rnacentral:rRNA from 1 species
UACGUAGGGUGCGGGCGUGUCCGGAAUUAUUGGGCGUAAAGGGCUCGUAGGCGGUCUGUUGCGUCAGGAGUGAAAACUCGGGGCUUAACCCCGAGCCUGCUUCUGAUACGGGCAGACUAGAGGUAUGCAGGGGAGAACGGAAUUCCUGGUGUAGCGGUGAAAUGCGCAGAUAUCAGGAGGAACACCGAUAACGAAGGUAACUCACUAAACUGUAACUGACGCUGAGGUACGAAAGCGUGGGGAGCAAACGGG